UUAAAAACAAGUAAAACAAAUCUUUCUAACCCUGAUGCAAGAUGCAAAUGUUUGACGUUGUUGUUGCUGUCGUCAGUACUCGUGGUUGCUUAAGCUCGCUGUUGUUUCAGGAACGUUGCAGUUUUGCGGAGUGAGAGAGUCAGUGGAAAGGAAGUGGACCUUUACGAAAUGUGCCAUGAAAUGGAAGCCGUGCUGAGAGGUUAGUU